rnacentral:rRNA from 1 species
CCUACGGGAGGCAGCAGUGGGGGAUAUUGCACAAUGGGGGAAACCCUGAUGCAGCGACGCCGCGUGGGCGAAGAAGUAUUUCGGUAUGUAAAGCCCUAUCAGCAGGGAAGAAGAAAUGACGGUACCUGAGUAAGAAGCACCGGCUAAAUACGUGCCAGCCGCCGCGGUAAUACGUAGGGUGCACGCGUUAUCCGGAUUUACUGGGUGGAAAGGGAGCGCAGGGGGCAGGGCAAGCCUGAUGUGAAAGCCCGCGGCCCAACCGCGGGACUGCAUUGGGAACUACCGGGCUGGAGUGCCGGAGAGGUAGGCGGAAUUCCUAGUGGAGCGGUGAAAUGCGUAGAUAUUAGGAGGAACACCAGUGGCGAAGGCGGCCUACUGGACGGUGACUGACGCUGAGGCUCGAAAGCGUGGGGAGCAAACAGGAUUAGAUACCCCGGUAGUC